GGCAACCAGCUCAGGUCUGCUUCCCGUCUGUGGAAGCUUUGUUCUUUCACUCUUGACAGUGAAUCUUGCUGCUGCUCACUCUUUGGGUCCAUGCCAUCUUUAAGAGCUGUGACGCUUACAGCCAAGGUCCGUGGCUCCAUUCUUGAAGUCAGCAAGACCACGAAUCCACCGGAAGGAGCAAACUCUGGACAUAGCAUGUGCUUUUGCAGGAAGGACGUUGGACUCUUGCACUAUAAAUUUAAAACAUCGCUUAUAAAGAAUACAUCGCAGCACACUUGCAGAGAGAGCACUGGUUCAUCAAAAUAAGAUAUGAUCAAGGUACAAAAGAGUUAAAGAAGCUAUUUAUUUUAAUGUUUCCUUGGAGAGCACACUUGUUAUUAUGCCUGCUCCAGCUUUGCCUUCCACCAUGAGUAAAAGCUUCCCAAGAUUCCCCAGAAGCAGAUGCUGGCGCUAUGCUUCCGGUACAGCCUGAAAAACCUUGAGCCAAUUGAACCUCAGUGAGCUCAAGAUGUCUUUGUUGAAACAGAACCUCCCAAAGUUACAGUAUUGGUUUUGGGGCUCCACACAGAGAACACAUCAUGGAAGCUAUAAUUGAGGGAGACAAAGCUGUCAGGACGGCACCAAGAGAGUUAGAAAGCCCAAGAGUGGAGCAUUCAUCACCGUGAUUCCACCUGACACUUGGCUGAGAGCAUUUUGCACUAAUUUGCUUUGUGCCUGUUCAGACAAUCUAAAAAGAAAGGAUGAGGGGACAACAGGUGUCUAUUAAACAGAAUAACAGCUUCUGGCAAAUGAAUAC